rnacentral:tRNA from 1 species
AGUAUUGAAGUAAUAAUUACACUCGAUUUCGACUCGAAAAUAGGGAAAUAUCCCCUUACUU